rnacentral:rRNA from 1 species
AUUGAACGCUGGCGGCAGGCCUAACACAUGCAAGUCGAGCGAGCGGCGGACGGGUGCGUACUGUCUGGGAAACUGCCUGAUGGAGGGGGAUAACUACUGGAAACGGUAGCUAAUACCGCAUACCAUCAGAUGUGCCCAGAUGGGAUUAGCUAGUAGGUGGGGUAAUGGCUAACCUAGGCGACGAUCCCUAGCUGGUCCGAGAGGAUGACCAGCCACACUGGAACGGAGACACGGGCCAGACUCCUACGGGAGGCAGCAGUGGGGAAUAUUGGACAAUGGGCGCAAGCCUGAUGCAGCAAUGCCGCGUGUAUGAAGAAGGCCUUCGGGUUGUAAAGUACUGUCAGCAAGGAGGCGGUACUCGAAGAAGAAGCACCGGCUAACUCCGUGCCAGCAGCCGCGGUAAUAC